rnacentral:lncRNA from 1 species
GGGACCCAGGCUCACACCAGCUACCCGAGGACUGGAGAGGUCUGUGAGUGCUUCCCCCUCCUGCAGGCUGUCCUGCCUUGUUGGCUUGCAGUAAAUUACCAGUAAAGGCACAAAGAAGGAUUGUUUGGAGGUGUUCUGUUGCUCCUGUGUUGGCUGCUACAAAAUUUAGAAUUAUUUCCAGUUUUGAGUUCAAGCAAAAAGAAAAAUAACAAAGCAAUCCUUCCACAACCAAAAUAGAACCCGAACCCCUGGCAGCACACAGCUCUGCUGUCCCCAAAUGCUGCUGGUCAGAGAGAUCUGCAAGUGCCUUUAAAAGCCUGUUAUAGCUUAAGUUUUAAUGUUUAUUCAUUACAGUUUUUAUUUGGGCACAAUUUAGCCUAGCAUUGUAAAUCUUAUUAGCUGCUGGCUUUAAUUGUCAGGAAUUGUACAAAGAUGUUGCUAUUUUGCUAAUUAAAGUCUCUCCAAGUGCACAGCAUCAGGCCUUGGGCUCUUCUGCUAAUUGCACUGAGCUUUCUACCUGUUAGUUUAUUUGGCUAAAUAUUAUCAAAAGGCUUUGAUAAUUAACAACUAUUCACGAAAAGUGCUUGUCACUACCCUCUCAGAUUGCAUGUUUCCGGACCAGGAGGCUGAAGUUUUAUUCCCUAAAACAGCAUAUUAACAUGCCAAGCAGGACAACUGAAAGAAAGAAGAAUGAAGGUGAAGAUUUUGGUGCUCUAGAAGUAAGGCAGAACCUUGGUUUUGUCAGAGCACUGGGCUGGCACUGGGUGGGAGCACGUUCAGAUCUCAGCUCUCCAGCAGUCUCCUUACGUGGUGUUGUACAGAUGGCUUCGGUUCUGUGCAAGAAAAAUCGAGCAGCAGGAGCGCUGAAGGCUUUCCUGACUGAUGGGUUCAUUCAGGACGUCUUGGAGCAGCGAUCGGUCUGUGCCGGGAUAUUUUUAUAAUCCUACCUAUUGAUCUUCUGAAGAGCUGUUGUGUUUGAAAUAAUUAUUUCAAAGAAAGAUGGAAGAAAAAGCAAGAUCAUCUUUGCACAAGAGCUUUUUUCAUCACCUAAAUAUAUUCACUGUAGAAACAUCUCCCUCAAAAGAGGUGAAGAUCAUUCCCAGCAUCCCGGGCUGCUGUUUUUCUGCUCCAUCUGCCAGAAGUUUUGCAGCUGGUACAAUUCAUUAAUUCUGUUCAAUCUGUGUUCUCUCAAACCAGCAAUGAAUUUGAUAAUCAGCGUGCUGGGUUUUAAACAUACGGUUUUCUUUCUACUCUGAGCUACUCACUGAGUAUUAACGUGCAACACAGCAGCUUUUUCCAGGGCUUUCUCUGGAGAGACACAGCAGCAUAUGGAUGCUGUGAUGGAAUCUCCAUCUCCUUGGUAGGAAACUGUUUAGUGCUGGUAGUGGAGCCUGUUAACAUCCAGAGAGCUGAUGCUGGGAGGGACUGGCCCAGCAGUGAUAGAAGGAGAUGGUGCUGCGCUUGAGACUUGUUGAGCAAUGAAUUUGAGUGGCCCAGCUCAGUUCUUGGCUACUUGGCUUGAAUUUUGUUGAUCAAACAGCACUAAGAGGGAGCCAGUUCUAAAAUCAUCUUGAAGGGAAAACCCCACACUUGCCAAGAUGGCCCAGGGCAUCAGAGCAGACUGGGAAAGAGAUUGAGAGGAGGGAAGAAUUUGUAACAGGGAACAGGGACAGGGGUGUAGGGAUGAGGAAAAGUUACAGGGGCAGUGGGAAUGAUCAGUGAUAGGGAAACCUGCGAAGUCCAAAGAGAGAAAAGCACGUGCCAGGAAAAAACCUAUAUAAACUUGCAUAGAUGCAAGUGUGGAAACAGGGAAAUACAGGCAUUUAUGACCAUCUCCAUAACACUUUAUACCAUUGUUACAACCUCCAAAAGCAUACUGCCUACCUGUUCUUCUAAAAAUUACCAUUUUCUGGCAAAAGCUCCUUAUACAUAAUUCAUGUA